GCGGCCUAUCAGCUUGUUGGCGAGGUAAUGGCUCACCAAGGCAACGACGGGUAGCCGGCCUGAGAGGGCGACCGGCCACACCGGGACUGAGACACGGCCCAGACUCCUACGGGAGGCAGCAGUGGGGAAUAUUGGGCAAUGGACGCAAGUCUGACCCAGCGACGCCGCGUGCGGGAUGAAGGCCUUCGGGUUGUAAACCGCUUUCAGCAGGGAAGAAGCGAAAGUGACGGUACCUGCAAAAGAAGCACCGGCUAACUAUGUGCCAGCAGCCGCGGUAAUACAUAGGGUGCAAGCGUUGUCCGGAAUUAUUGGGCGUAAAGAGUUCGUAGGUGGUUCGUUACGUCGGAUGUGAAAAUCUGGGGCUCAACCCCAGACCUGCAUUCGAUACGGGCGAGCUAGAGUUUGGUAGGGGAGACUGGAAUUCCU
rnacentral:rRNA from 1 species